rnacentral:rRNA from 1 species
AUUGAACGCUGGCGGCAGGCCUAACACAUGCAAGUCGAACGGUAACAGGAAGAAGCUUGCUUCUUUGCUGACGAGUGGCGGACGGGUGAGUAAUGUCUGGGAAACUGCCUGAUGGAGGGGGAUAACUACUGGAAACGGUAGCUAAUACCGCAUAACGUCGCAAGACCAAAGAGGGGGACCUUCGGGCCUUUUGCCAUCGGAUGUGCCCAGAUGGGAUUAGCUAGUAGGUGGGGUAACGGCUCACCUAGGCGACGAUCCCUAGCUGGUCUGAGAGGAUGACCAGCCACACUGGAACUGAGACACGGUCCAGACUCCUACGGGAGGCAGCAGUGGGGAAUAUUGCACAAUGGGCGCAAGCCUGAUGCAGCCAUGCCGCGUGUAUGAAGAAGGCCUUCGGGUUGUAAAGUACUUUCAGCGGGGAGGAAGGGAGUAAAGUUAAUACCUUUGCUCAUUGACGUUACCAGCAGAAGAAGCACCGGCUAACUCCGUG